CACCAGGCUGGCCUGGAGUACGGAGAUCAGUUACUUGAGUUCAAUGGCAUAAACCUGCGGAGUGCCACGGAGCAGCAGGCCCGGCUCAUCAUCGGACAGCAGUGCGACACUGUCACCAUCCUGGCCCAGUACAACCCACACAUGCACCAGCUGGGCAGCCACUCACGCUCCAGGUGAGGCUGGAGGCCCUGGACUGUGGGCUGGGGAGUGGGCGGGACGGGCGAGCUGCUGGAGAGCAGGGCU
rnacentral:lncRNA from 1 species